GAGGAACUAAAUGAAAGAGAGGAGGUGACCCAGACAGAAAACCGUAUUCACCAUGGGGCCUGGUCUGCAGCUCAUCAGGAGAUAGACAGCAGCUCAGCACAAGAGGUCACAGUAUUAAGCCAGAGGCAGGUUCUGCAAAAAAAAAAAAAAUAUGUCAGCAACCCCAAUCAGAAACAACUUUCAGGACCUUUGGACGCCCAUUUAAUGCCUGCAGAUCCCCUAGGGGAGACUCCACAGCUGACAGUGGCACUGGUGAGGAAACCAGAAGCGAAACAUCCUAAGGCCCCAGCUCAAAGGAGAGGCCACACAGAAGAUCUUGGGCUCACAAAAGGAACAGCCGCCUUCUGCCAAUGGAUGGUGCCCUGGAGGAGAACACGGGAAGCAGCAGCAAAUAAUGUCAGU